rnacentral:lncRNA from 1 species
UUUCUUUUUCUGGGCUGAAGUGGUGGGUGGGGAAGGAUAAGCAGGACAGAGAAUCAAGCAAGGGGGGAAGAUGAAAGACCAACAAACGUUUUAAAGUCAGAAUCGUGACAGAGCACGUGUGUCCUUUGCAGUGAGUUCCAAGAACAGAUGACUCACAGUGAGAAGCACCUAGGUUCUGACGCCUAUCGGGGAGCAUUUGCUGCUUAGACCAAGCUGCUGGGAGGCAAGAGGAAUUUACACAAGGAUAAAGGGAGCAGCGAGCUGGAGUGCUCAUGUCAGUUACUCUCUGUGGUCACAGGGAUGGAUCCAUUGGCUAUUGCCCAGCCAUUCAGGAAUGGGCAGGCGGGGACAUAUCCUAGACCAGCUGGGUGAGGACAAAGGGUCCAAU